AGGACCCUAGGAGACAGCAGCCAGGGAUAGUGAAGGUGGAGGAUGAGUAUAAAUAGCGACCCCAGCGCGAUCAGAGAAGCUCCCUUACCCCCACCCACCGCAGUGGGAGUGAGUCUUCAGAUCUACCCCCCAGACAAUGAAAUCCUACCCGGGCCAUUGAAGGGAAACCUCCACUCCAACCCCCAGAAGACGCCUUAGAUGAGAAAGUGAAGAGGCAUUGUAUGAGCUCAUUCAUCAAAGGCCAUGCCAUCACCAGCUCAGGCAAUGCUGCUAGGGGAUUCCUACCUCUCUGGAGGUCCAGUUCUCUCUGAAGACAGAGAAGAUGCAGGGAGGAAGGGUUUCAAACAGGAACUCUCAACCCACGUCUGCCAGUUGUAGACUCUGUAAACAAAGUUCCUACUCGCCCGCUGCUGCCACUGCCGCUGCUAUUUUUUGAGGUCAAGACUCUUCCACCUGUAUGCCCAUCUUCAUAGACCGGCCCAUCACUGGUGCCUCAAGCAUUUUCACUAUCACAGCCAGUAAUCUGCAGACUCAACCUCAAGCCUACUUUGUACUUUGGUAUAAACUGCAUGGAUACCAAUCCCUUUUCACAGGUUUUCAUCUCCUGGUCUCCCAUAGGAUCCAGGAUGAGUAUCCUCCCAUUUGACCAGUUCCAUCCCAGUAUGGAGCAGAUAUCCCUUGUAAAGAACACAGUCUCCACCAGCCCACCUGCUUUUAUGGUCAACAGCCCUACCUGAAUUUCCAGCAUUGCCUUUUGACCCAAGAAACACCUGUCACCUGAAAUCUAGGGUUCCAGACAGGCCUCAACAGGAAACAACUCUCUUCAAUGCCCUGUCUUUUCUGGCCCACCUACCACUGCUUCUGCAGUCACCUCCACUAUAGUAAGCAGACCCUCUUCAGACUUGGCAUCCAAGCCUGCCUUUGACUCUGAUGAAAUCAACAUGGAUACCAUGCCCAUUUCCCCAUCUGUUAUCUUCCUGUCUCUCCCUGCAACGUUAACAGCUGUUUCCCUUUGAAGAACCUGGCAGCCCCCAAAAAUCCUUCCUACUUAACCUCUACUGCAGCCCUGGAACCCAAUGACAGCACCAGUCAGCUUUUGGGAAUUUGACUCCCCCAUGUCCACCUUUGGCAUCUGCUAUGGUUUGAAUGUGUCAACCAAAUUUCGUGUAUUAAAAACUCAAUCCCCAAAUUCA